UACAACUUAGUUUAUCUAUAGAACAAUCAACUUGCACUUGAUAAGAGAAAUAAAUUCAGUAGUAA
rnacentral:tRNA from 1 species